ensembl:lncRNA
UAGUCAUCAACUAUAUUUUUUGUCCUGUUCUUUUAUGUUCAAUGCUUUUUUUAUGCAGACGGUCAAUAUUAAGCUAAACAAGCCAGCACUGACAACGUUUUAUAAAUGACUAAAACAGCCUAUGAGCAAUAAUAAACAGACUUCAUAUGCAUGUAUUUAGGUACUGAAUGAUCUAUAGAUAACAUUCAUUAGAUUAUACUUUAAUGAUUUUAUUUGCAAUUGGUUUGUAAAAGUUGUUUGUUGUUCUUGUAGUAUUUACUGUUUUUAGCAGCAGAGGCCUGUUUUAAAAAAAACACUAAGAAAAGCAAAGAUUAAAGUCCAACACCUGACUUGACAAACCUAACACAUCAGUCGGGGCAAAACCGGUUCCAUAAACAACAAUUUAAGUUCACACAAUCCCACUAAUUUGAUCCAGGGUCAGUGAGUCAAGAUAAUUUGAUGUGCACACUUAUUCUUAAGCAGCUCUUAAAGGGGUCAUAUGACGUUCCUAAAAAGAACAUUAUUUGGUGUAUUUGGUGUAAUGCAAUGUGUUUAUGCGGUUUAAGGUUAAAAAAACACAUUAUUUUCCACAUACUGUACAUUAUUGUUUCUCCUCUAUGCCCUGCCUUCUGAAAGGCAUCGAUUUUUACAAAGCUCAUCCGUCUGAAAAAGCGAGGUGUGCUCUGAUUUGUCAGCUAUCCAGUGCGUUGUGAUUGGCCGAAUGCCUCAAGUGUGCAACAGAAAUGUUAUGCCUCUUAACAUAUUGUGAUGCCGUCUCCCAGUCCAGCAGCAUGAGACUCAGUCCAGCUGCUCUGCUCGUGCACAUCCCAUCAUCGGUUCUCUUCUAGUACUUCAGUAAAUGUACUGUUAGGAGUAACUGAAUAACUCAGGAUAUUGGUUUAUUUCACGUCAGAGGUUAGUGUCAGGCACGUUUAUAAACCAAAUAACUUAAGUUUUUUGUGGAUUAGUGCUUACUGGAGACGUAAACCGUUUCAAACAAUUCAGAUUUCAAUUCAGACCGGUUCACUAAGAAGAUCCGGUUAAACAGAAAGAUUUGUUUGCAAAUCUUUCUAGAUGAGACAAAACAAAUAAAACCCAUUACAAACGAGGCA